rnacentral:rRNA from 1 species
AGACCGAUAGCAAACAAGUACCGUGAGGGAAGAUUGAAAAGAACUUUGAAGAGAGAGUUCAAUAGUACGUGAAACUGUGUGGUGGUAAACGGAGGGGUUCUCGAAGUUUCCGUGGGGAACUCAACCUUGGUGGUUGGUAGCCUUGUCGUACUUGAUCAGCAAUGACUUUGCGGCCUGACCUGCCUUCCUCUCGGGUGCAUUUCCCCCAUGGUUUACGACAGGAACCGUUUGGCUCGGACCGAAGGGCUCGGGUGAAGUUGUAGGUUCUGCUUGCAGCCCCUUGUUCCUGGCUCCGCGCCAGACGGGUACGUGAGAGGACUCGUAUAGCGAGCAAUGCUCUGUUGCGGUUCUCAUCUCUCUGUCGAGUAGGUCGGUGGCCCCUCCGACCCGUCUUGAAACACGGAC